UACGUAGGGUGCAAGCGUUAAUCGGAAUUACUGGGCGUAAAGCGUGCGCAGGCGGUGAUGUAAGACAGUUGUGAAAUCCCCGGGCUCAACCUGGGAACUGCAUCUGUGACUGCAUCGCUGGAGUGCGGCAGAGGGGGAUGGAAUUCCGCGUGUAGCAGUGAAAUGCGUAGAUAUGCGGAGGAACACCGAUGGCGAAGGCAGCCCCCUGGGUCGACACUGACGCUCAGGCACGAAAGCGUGGGGAGCAAACAGG
rnacentral:rRNA from 1 species